rnacentral:rRNA from 1 species
AGUGAACGCUGGCGGUAGGCCUAACACAUGCAAGUCGAACGGCAGCACAGUAAGAGCUUGCUCUUACGGGUGGCGAGUGGCGGACGGGUGAGGAAUACAUCGGAAUCUACUUUUUCGUGGGGGAUAACGUAGGGAAACUUACGCUAAUACCGCAUACGACCUACGGGUGAAAGCAGGGGAUCUUCGGACCUUGCGCGAUUGAAUGAGCCGAUGUCGGAUUAGCUAGUUGGCGGGGUAAAGGCCCACCAAGGCGACGAUCCGUAGCUGGUCUGAGAGGAUGAUCAGCCACACUGGAACUGAGACACGGUCCAGACUCCUACGGGAGGCAGCAGUGGGGAAUAUUGGACAAUGGGCGCAAGCCUGAUCCAGCCAUACCGCGUGGGUGAAGAAGGCCUUCGGGCUGUAAAGCCCUUUUGUUGGGAAAGAAAAGCAGCAGGUUAAUACCCCGCUGCUCUGACGGUACCCAAAGAAUAAGCACCGGCUAACUUCGUG